UUCAAGAAUGACUCACAGAACAUCGCUGCUUUCAAACACCUCUGCGUCGUCUCCUUGCUAACAAGGAAAGGCAAGGCCACGCCAGCUUGGGGAUGGAGGCUGCCGUCAUUUGGAAAAAAAGAGGCUGUCCACACCACCCUAACGUGGCCGUGGGUCUGUCCUGAGCGAGUGGAGCCCCCGGGGAAGGAGCCCCAAGUCUGACUCUGCAGCUCGCACGGGGAAACCUCCAAUUCCACUAAAAGCCCAGAAUCGCGGGAUCUGCCGCGAGGUGGAAGGAACGUUCCUGGCCACCCCCCAUCACUUACCCAGACAGCAGCGGGCGGCCCAGGGGCCACAGGCCCCGAGCCGGCCAGGUGGACUUGCCCGCUCUGGUCACGAAGGGUCCCGCAAGCUUGCAAAACCCCAAUCAAAACUGAAUAAAUUAAAAUGCUACAUAUA